rnacentral:rRNA from 1 species
GGAGUUAGCCGGUGCUUCUUCUGCGAGUAACGUCACAGAUGUAAGGUAUUAACUUACACCCUUUCCUCCUCGCUGAAAGUGCUUUACAACCCGAAGGCCUUCUUCACACACGCGGCAUGGCUGCAUCAGGGUUUCCCCCAUUGUGCAAUAUUCCCCACUGCUGCCUCCCGUAGGAGUCUGGGCCGUGUCUCAGUACCAGUGUGGCUGAUCAUCCUCUCAGACCAGCUAGGGAUCGUCGCCUAGGUGAGCCUUUACCUCACCUACUAGCUAAUCCCACCUGGGCUUAUCCAUCAGCGCAAGGCCCGAAGGUCCCCUGCUUUCCCCCGUAGGGCGUAUGCGGUAUUAGCAGUCGUUUCCAACUGUUAUCCCCCACAAAUGGGCAAAUUCCCAGGCAUUACUCACCCGUCCGCCGCUCGUCAUCUUCAAAAGCAAGCUUUUGAAAUGUUACCGCUCGACUUGCAUGUGUUAGGCCUGCCGCCAGCGUUCAAUCUGAGCCAGAAUCGAACCCUGA